GUGCCAAGUUGACUUUAAGGGGUGGGCGUAGGGUGCUCUGCUUUUGGUUUAGACAGGGCCCCAGGAUCUUGAAGUUGGCUUGUGCCCAGGUUCAGAAUCUGGUGCAGUAGGCUCCUUCAAUUGGCUCAAGCUUUCACCUAAGUCCCCAUACAUGUCUCCUGACUUCUGUGACUUCUGCAAGUCAGGAAUCUCACCUGCCACACUGGCAAAUUAAGAUACAUGAUUCUGUGACUCCUAUAAGAUGCUAAUUAUUCGUUCCAAGGCAGAAGAGAAAUAAUUGGGGUUGAUGCUGCAAUAGUUUAAGUGGGAGGUGAUGAAAACUUGCAUCGGGAUGGAGAUAAGGGAAUGUAUACAAGAGAUUUAUGAAAGUGGGAACCAUAAGACUUGACAAAAGGAUGAUUAUGUGAGGUGAGUGAGAAUGAUGAAUCAAGAAAGACACUGAGGUUGU
rnacentral:lncRNA from 1 species